rnacentral:misc_RNA from 1 species
GGUUUUUUUUUUUUUUCAAUUCCUUUGUUCCCUUUGCUCAUGAGAAUCGGGUUUAAUCAUUCUGUAAUACUAUGCAAUUAUAAAAACAAGCAAAUUGUGCAUCACAGAACAUAGUUAUUAAAGGUUCAAGACACAUUAAGGCACUAAGGAGUCCCGGAGCCUAGGCGCAAGACACAAAGCGCAAGCGCGCACCUAAGCAAAAUGAAGCACAAAAGUAAAAAAUUUUAAAA